CCUGUCCGUCAUUUUGCCAGUAAUUGUUGUUCUUGUUCUCGAUUGGAUACCCUUGCGCUCGCUUACAAAAUCCGAAUUUAGGAAAGAUUUUUCGGUGUUUCCGACUUCACUAGCAAACCACCAACGAAAAUUUAAUUUAAUAAACAUGGACCAACUGGAAGACCCCGCUGGAUCGGAUAAUAAACGAGCUAUAGAGCGAAAAAGGAGUUAAAGAUGCCAAAGGAGGACUUAAGAGAGGACAAGCUUUCAACAUCAGCACCGUCCAUCACUUUGUUCCUCACCCAAUCCCCUAAACAUCAGGCACAGGCACUGGUUUAGCCAGAGUCCUCACCCCAAUACUCCAUUUAAGUUCAGUGGUUUCAUACAGGUGUUUUGAUGGGAGGUAACGAAGGAGGUGGACAAGGAGGAGAGCGAUGGAGCCUCUUCGGAGUGCGGCCCAUCGUGCAGAAAUCCCCCACUGACCCAGGAUCAGAAACCAACACACCUG